rnacentral:sRNA from 1 species
GCUUGGGUGAUUCUACAAACGCAUCUGGAGUUCGCAAUCUUUUGCUUGGAGCCUUGAUAAUGAUCGACAACCCGUUGAAUCGGCACUCGCCAGUGAUCGAUGAUAUACCACCACCACAAACUUCGGAAAAUUAUUAUUGAUGCUCCAUAUCGGCUACGUUUGCUAUUUGCUACCUAUAUGCCGUGCCACAUGACAGAGAAGACGCCCGACAGAUGGGACCCCCAAAUAUGGCGGAGGUUUAUCCUCGCAUUAUAGCAGGUGUAGUAGCGAGCAACUGCCAACAACGAAUGCUCGACGGUUUCCUUCAGCCCAAGUUGGGGCAACAACUGCAUAAUACUACUGACGACAGCAGGUACUUAGGCAUGCAAUAGUGAGUUGGUAGUGUCAAUGAUGACCUGAAGCAACCAUGGCCGACCAACAACACUGGAUAUCAGAUAACAUCGCUCAUUUCAUACACCAAGGAGUUUAUGUAUGAUUUUUCGAAAUCAGCGAAGGGACACUGAGAGCGUCCCCAACCCUUCGAUCAGUAGCCUUAUGCUAGCCUUAUGCUAGGUCAAGAGAUGUAGGCCCUCGAUGAAUGAC